rnacentral:lncRNA from 1 species
CAGAUUACUCCUAAUAGGGCCCGUACUUUCUAUUAAUUGCUUUAAUCAAAAUUCAAAUUGAGUUCCUCAUUAAAUAAAAUAUUGUGAUGCACAUAAAACCAGCCAACUUUGACAGACUUUUUUUAGGACACAUGACUUCUUUUUAUUUAUGAAAACUCAGUACAUAUAGUCAGCAAAGCAAAAUAAAAAUAUAUUCUCCAUGAUCCCUAUACUAGCAAUGUUCCUCAAUAUUAUAUUUGAGUUUCUUAGGCCUUUCUGGCAUUUUGCAGUUUACUUAAAUGCUGCCUUUUUAUUGUUAGUGUCAAGAACUUUAUAUAAAUCUAAAUAUUUGAUCACUGAGCAUGUGUGUGUAAGAGAGACUUGAGCAAGCAGAAAUCAUUUUAAAUUGGGCACACGCCCUAAAUGACAAAUAGGCCAAAUUGAAAUUGCUUUUAGAGAUUAAAUCAUGUGCCACAUAUCUGCUUUGUUGCAAUAAAUAAACCCCAAACUGUUAAUUAUGGCAUUUAUAUAUCAAGAUGAGGAUGAAAUAAAGAGAAUGAAAUAUUUCCCAAGGUCAUAACAUUGAAUGUUUAUUCUUCAGUUUCACUAAAAUUAACAGGCCCAGAAGUAAAUCCUUCUACUGUCUCAGAGUUACAUUGUUCUUUCCUGGUGACAAAUUAAGUGUUCCAAGAAAUUAUAAUUUGACAUUCCCUUUAUAUUUUCUUAGAACAAUGCAUGUUGGAAUGAUGCCAAGAAUAUUGGAAUUUAAAACCAAAUAAAAAAAAGUAAUGACUGAGUCCAUCAAGAAAAAAAGAUUCUGCCUCUGAAUUGCUAGCUGCAGCACUGCUUUUUGAUCACUUUUGCACAAUUCGUAGCAUAGAGCUGCUACUGUUGUUCUUUAAUACAGCUUUUUACAUAUAAAUUAGCUUCUGGUGCCCUCAAGGUAAAUGUCCUCAGUUUAUCUUUAUUGAGAAAAAAAAAGUGAUAGCCAUUUAAUUUACAGGAUUGAAGCCCUUCCACAGUAAUAAGGUCUUGCUGUCAUCUGGGGAGAAGUCAUAAGGGAUUUUGACCACUGGUGUACAUUUUCCUUGUGGAACAUGGAACUUCUAAGCAUCUGAUGAUAAAUUCGUAGAUUCUUUUAUCCUGUGCAUCCUCCAUCUUCCUCCUUCAUCUUUAGGAAGGGGCUAGGCUCCAACUCGCUCACACAAUACCAUCACCACUGAACUUGGCGGUACUCUUCCGAUGAUUUCCAUUUGUUGGAAACUUGACACAGGAAUUGGUGUUGGUGCAGAGGUGGAAGACGGACACAGUCUGCUGCUGAGGCCAUAAGAGUGUGUUGGCCUGUGGUGACCUGCCUGACAACAGACCUACUAAUUUCAUUUCAACAUGCUGACGUAGGACUCCAGCUUCUGAAAGUAAUUUUGUAAUGCUCAUCAACUGAAGAUGACUGUAAAGCUUGGCACCAGUUCCUGGAGGCAGCCAUGUUUCUGAUUAAAGUCUGGGCCUAGAGAGCUGUAUGGAAAGGUUUGGAAUAGAGGUGAUUUAGCCUAAAGAAAAUUGCUAAACCAUGGGUUACACACUGGUGGCCUGUAGUCCUAUUUUGUUAGACACAGACAAUGGAUUUUAUUUGUUUUUCAUAUUUGAAUUAAUUUCUGAAUUCUUGAAUAUUGGCAGAUUAUGCUACAGGAAUCUAAAUUACUCUCAUUUCUGCAUGUCAUUAAAAAAGUAGAGAUGAGUAGCAGGCCCCUUUUCCCUGGGGCAUGUGCUUCCCAGCUACAUACACAGCACCCACCACACCAGAGUUUCCCUACCUGGCAACUACCAGUUAUCAUCACUCCUUAAGCAGCUGUUUUCUUACAGUGAAGAAGUUCCGUUUCCAUGGUGCUAUCAAAAGUAAGAAAAGGAACUAUAGUUUGAGAGGCUGUGUUCUUAACCCAUUGAUGCUCCUAAUGGGCCCUGAAGAUAUUUGACCUUGUGACCAUGUGUAAUAAGGUGAUACAUGUUCAUCAAAUUGUGGUGUCCUCCUCCCCUGACUUUCAAAUGGAAUUCAGAUACAAUUUUUACCCUUAUUACGAUUACCUACAAUUAUAAUUAUGCUACUUCUAAGUAUAUGACCUGGGGCAAGUUUCUUGACCUCUCUAUGCCUCACAUUCCUCAACCAUAAAUAGGGGAUAAAAAUAGUACCUAUAUCAUAGAGUUGUCAAAAGAAUUACAUGAGUUAAUGUGUGGAAAGCACUGAAGAUAGUGCCUGGUAAAUACAAUGUACCAUGUAAGUGUUCACUGUUGCAGUCCUCAUUUAUUUUCUGAUUAUACUAACAUUUCACUUAUUCUGUGUUGCUCAUGUCACCUCCUAAUUUGUAAGUGACUGGUAGAAAGAAACUUGUCCCAAGGGUAUCUGACCUUCACCCACACUCAGCACUUCCAUCAGUCUGCAUCAGUUUUAGGGCCUGGAGAUGUAUUUGCACAUAUUGAAGGAGGUAAAUAACUACAGUGAAUAAGAUAACAUUCAGAAAUUCAGGACUGCGACCUUAGAGAUCAUCUAGUCCAGGAGUUGGCAAGCUUUUUCUGUAUGGGACCAGACUGUAAAUAUUUUGGCUUUGUGGCCAUAUUGUCUCUGUGGCAACUACUCAACUCUGCUGGUGCAAUGCAAAAGAAGCCAUGGGUUAUAUGGAAUGAAUAGGUGUGGCUGUGUUCCAAUAACACUUUAUUUAUAGACACUGAAAUUUGAAUUGCAUAUAAUUUUCACAUGUCAUUAAAUAUUAUUCUUCUUUUGAUUUUUUUUCAACCUUUUAAAAAUGUAAAAACCAUUCUCAGCUCUGGGCUAUAAAAAACAGGUGGAAGAUUUCACCCAGGAAUUCCACCUGGGGAUUUUUGUUGAACAGUGAAGCUACCUGGGCCCCACUCCAAACCCAUUGAAUAAAAAUCUCUGGGUGGUGGGGCAAUGGAAUCUGUGCUGUGAACAUGCGUGUGAUCCCUACCAGUGUGGCUCUAGGGACCACACUUUAAGAAACUACCCAAGUGUGGAGACUUUAUGGCCCUCCUCACAGAUCUAAAAAUGAUUUAUUAAGGUUGGUUAUAACAAGUACCACACUGCAAAUAUGAAUAUGAUCACUUUUGUCUUAAAUUACUUAAAUUUACUCUUCACAUUCUCUUAUUUUUAUUAUCAAAAUUUCUUGUAGACAAAGGUCAUUAUUUUCUUCUACUAUGUUUAAGGAAUGUGACAGCACCUUGAACUUACCCUAAAAUCACUGUACAUUAGAGAAAUCCUAUUUCAUGUUUUCAUCAAUGUGGGAAUAUGUGCAUGUUUAGUGACAUUCUUUGUGGUGGCAAAAAGUAAAAUAAACUCUGAAAAUAACUUUGUCCUGGUGAAUAAAUUGUGGUGCAUAAUUACAUAAAUUAUGAUGUCUGUAUGUAAAAGAAUGUGUUUAGCUACAUGUACUGCCCUCGGGGAGGGAUGUCCAUCACAUACUGAUAACAACAACAACAAAAAAAGCAAAAUGCAGAAUAAAGUUUACAAUACAAUUUCAUUUUCAUGAAAAAAGGAAAUACAUGGAUAAUAUUGGUUACCUCGGGCAGUUAAGACCAGAUAGGGAAGUGGUGGGGGAUAAAAAAGCAUUUAACUUUUUCUUUAAACACAUCUUUAUUAACUUUUAUAGUAAUUAUUUUUAAAUAGAAAAAUUGUAAGUGCAAUUGGGAACAAAACCUCAUCCUUUAUAGUCUAUUUGGUACACACAUCCAUUUCCCUGAUAAGAAAGAGAACUCAGCUUCUAACACUCACAGACUCAGGCAAAGUAGAAAGAUUUAACUUACUUAUAAUGUGAAUUCACCUGCAAAAUAACUUCAUCAUCAUAUUUUUUUGCUAAAGGGGAGUUAUAUUUAUAUAAAGCUCAUCUAACGUCAAGUAGAGUCCUGACUUAGAAUAAGCCUUGCUUUGACUAAAUAAGUCAGAAAGAGGCAAUCCAUUCUGCUAUUUUGGUCUUUAUUUUCAAUACACAGAGUAUAAUUUUCAUAGGCCAUGAUUUGUUCCAUUACAGAAAGUUUCUCAGAAAACUAAUCCAUCCAAAUAAUUGCUAAUUACACAGCUCAUGUUAGGCUUUCACUUUGCCCUCAUAUUUUUUAACAACAGAUUUCAUAAGAGUUGUGGAGAGCACGAUUAUCAAAUGCUCAACUAAAUUAUUCUGUCUCAUUUGGGCACAAUUGUCAUUUCUAUGUAAUUAUAUAUGAGCAUUAGGUGACUCAUGCUUUCUAAAGUAAAAAAAAAAUAGAUCAAUCUAAUAAAUCUAUUAAGCACCCAAAAUUAAAUAUGCUUAAAUUUAAAGUAAAAAUUUUUAGACAAAAAGGAGAACUUCAUUCUCUAAUUGCAAUUUGUUCAUUUGUUCACACAUCAUUUAUUGAGUGUUUACUAUGGCAGGACGUGUGCUAGUAAACUUAUAUGUACUAUUGCCCAAAAUGAUUACUCAUCCUCUUUUUACUCAGUAGAAAAAAGAAGCUUGGAAAAGUUAGCUUACGUAGUCAUAUACUAAUAAGAGCACAAGUAGAGAUUUAACUCAGAUCUGUGGAGCAAAAUUAUUACAGCAGAGUGCCAGCAAUUAUUCUAGGUACUUUAUAAAUAUUAAUGCAUCAGAUCAUCAUAAUGAUUCCCAAGGUAGAGACUUGUGUACAUACCAUUUUGCAGGUGGGUUCAUUCCCACAGAGGGAGGCUAAGUAAAUGGCAGAGCUGGAAUUCAAACCCAGGCAGCCAGACUCCAGAGGCCUUGCUUUGAACCACCACUAGAUGGCCUUUUCCAUCCUAAUGGCUUGUUGGUCCCAUUGCACUGGUCUGCUUAGGAAGGCAAACAGACACAUGAGGACAGAAUAGAAUGAAUUAAGUAUGGUGGUCAACCACUGUGGCUAUAGCAUUUGGACCUCUGUCACAUUUAGUGAUGAAAAUUCAGUGCAAUGCCUUAAGGAAGAAAAGAGGGGAAGGAAUUAUCAUGCUAUGGACUGAAUGGUGUCCCCUCCAAAUUUAUAUGCUGAAGCCCUAACCCCUAAUGAGACAGUAUUUGUAGAUAAGGCUUAUAAAUAGGUAAUUAAGGUUAAAUGAGGUAAUAAGGGUAGAGACCCAAUAUGACACGAUUAGUGUUCUUAUAAGAACUAACACCAGAAGGCUCACUUAAGUGCUUGCACUUUGGUUCACUCUCUCUCUCUGCCUCAGCAUGCACAAAGAAGAGGGCAUGUGAGCACACAGUAAGAUGGCAGCUUCCCACAAGGCAAGAGAAGAGGCCUCAGAAUUAAACCUACCUUCCCAGCAUCAUGAUAGGAAAUUUCCAGCCUCCAUUACGUUGAGAAAUAAAUUUAUGUUGUUUAAGCCAUCCAGUCUAUGGUAUUUUGUUAUGGCAGCCCGAAUAGACAAAGACUCACUGAAACGAGAUAGUUCCCUUGAUCUCUUCACAGGACUCAUGAAGAAGUUGGCUCAUUUACUCAGCCUGCAGCUCUCAAGCCUUCACAGGAGGGGGAGCAUGCAGGUGAGCAGGUGCAGAGGCCAGAUCGAGUGCUCCUGGGUGCCAACAGGAGUAUAACUCUGUGCUGCCCCAUGGUGGUAUCUUGUAGGGUACCUGUAACCUGCGGAGCCCCAGAGUGGGUGUGUUACAAUGUGCUCUUUUAGCUUUGCCAUUCACGGAUGGCUUAAGUGUUUAAUAGCUCAGUGGAGGGUCAGGGUGAUAUCCUUUUGCAUGUACCCUCUUGGUACCUGAGUUCUUGUCUGGUAUCCAGGAAGAAUCAGGUUGCACAAACAAAUUGAAGAGUGGAGAAUGUGGAGGAUUUUAUUGAGUGGUGGAAGUGGCUCUCAGCAGGAUGGGGAGCUGGAAAGUGGAUCGAGUGGGAAGGUAGUCUUCCCCUGGAGUUCCUCUGUCCCCGGCCAAACUCUUCUCCAAAGUCCUGCCAUCAAGCUGUGCCUUUGAAGUCAAGCUGCUUCUCUCUGAUGUCUGCCUGCCUCAUCUCUCCCUCUCUGCCGCUCUGCCACACUGCAGUUCUG